UUCCCCACCCCUUCCAGCUCUGCUCUGGCUGAGGUUAUGGAAAUACAUAAAUAACACUUGAGCCUUGAUCACCACCUGGAGUUGGAGGAGACACAGCAGGACACAUUCAUGAUAAGAAUCUGAAACAGGGCCUGUCGGGAGCUUACCAUCUAAUCCUUCACUGCCUGAGAGGAGAUGAGAGCUGCUAUUCCCACUUUAAAGAUGAAGACAUUGAGCCUAGCAGAGAUUGAGAAAAAACGAUCACACAACUAGGAAAUGGCAGCAGAACAACAAAAAUCCAGAAACCUUUCUGUGGGUGAUUGUACAGUCCCACAUCUCCCCAUUGGAAAUCUAGCAACACCCAGUGCAGAAGGGGCAAGGGCAGAGGAAUUUGCCUGCAGUGCUGCAAGAGUGUACACUGGUAUGAUGUCUGGUGAGUCUCCAUAAAGGCGAAGGUGCUCAUGGCCCAAUCAGCUCACCUGCAGCCUCUGCCCUGGAGAAAGCCAGCGCACAGGCAUGGGGUGGCCGACCCAGGAGUGUGGUCUGCACCACGACUGCACGAGCAGAACGCUGCCCAUCAGCAGUAGAUCAGGACUGGAUGGAGAGGAUACCAGUGACAUAGAGUGCUCUGGAGAUUCCCAUUUAUCCGCCUUGACAGAGCUUGUAAACUGUAAUGUGAAGAAAAGGAGCACGUCCUGGGACAAUAUGAACGGUAUCACAUCAUUUAUAGAAAUGUUAAAAACCAAUAAAAUGAGACCUUAAAACGUUUCUGGACAAAUCAAUAUGCAGUAAAAAUACA